rnacentral:sRNA from 1 species
CUGGGACAGUGAUUCGAACAAGUCUGGUGAAGGUUCUGGAGUUUGAGCGGGAUUACAUGUGUAACAAAUGCAAGCAUGUGUUUGUGAUCAAGGCUGACUUUGAGCAGUAUUACACCUUUUGCCGGCCAUCCUCGUGUCCCAGCUUGGAGAGCUGUGAUUCCUCUAAAUUCACUUGCCUCUCAGGCUUGUCUUCGUCUCCAACCAGGUGUAGAGAUUACCAGGAAAUCAAAAUUCAGGAACAGGUUCAAAGGCUAUCUGUUGGAAGUAUUCCACGAUCUAUGAAGGUUAUUCUGGAAGAUGACUUAGUGGAUAGUUGCAAAUCUGGUAAGAAGAGGGGAAUUUUUUUUUAGCUUGUGUAGGUAGUCCUAAAGUAUUGAUUAGGAAAAGCCACUUUUUAUUUUCCCAAGAUCACUGGCAAGGGAAAUGUAGAGCUGUAAUUGCUCACCUUGAGAUUAGAAACUGGCAGGUGGGAAGUGAUAGCAGGAAGAGAGCUGGGCUAGAUCUAUACAACAGCAGCUAGUCCAGGUGCUUGUUUUAUGAAUGAAGAACCUGACUUGUCUAAGGUCACUUAGAGAGUUAAGUGGCAUAACUGGAACAUGAAUCCAGAACCACUGAUGUCUAAUUUAAGGCUCUUUUCAGUGCACUAUAGCUUAACAGCAGGAACUUUAAAAAAUGUAGUGAAUUUAAUGGGUAUUUUUAUAAAAUGAAUUAGAGAAUGUGACUCUGUUAAAUGCUGCUGCGUGUCUUAUUGGUGCCUAGAAGAAAGGACAUCAUUCCUCUCUGCUCUGUGCUGGUGACACCGUGAUUGGAGUCACUGAUUGUAGUCUGCUGUCUUCUGAGGGUCCUCAAUGUUUUCAUUGGCCGAUACCUGAAUUGGGAGGGUACUUGAAACCCAUACUCAAUGAAGAACUAUACAUGGUUAGCAUGGAGAACCCUGAGGAAGGACAUGACAGCCAACUUUCAAUAGUUAGAAGACUGUCACAUAGAAAUAGAAUUGUAAUUACAGAAGUUGCUGUUGGGUUUCAGUGGGGUAAGCCACAAGGAGGUAGAUUUUGACUCAAUACCUAAUAAUUAGAGGUGUCUAACAUGGGCCUUAGAUGGUGAUGAGUUCUUUUUCUCAUAGACAGUCAAACACAGCAUAUACAGUACAUUGUUAGGGAUUUAGGCCCUACAGUGGCAGUUGAUCUGGAUAAUAAUCUGCAAUGUUCCAGGCAAUUUAAAGACUUUCUGAGCCUCAGAACUGUUCUGGAAAUCUGAGAGUUCCGAAAGCCUGAUUGUUCCAGUGUCAUUCUGAGCUUAUGCUUUACUCUUUAGGCUAACCAGACUGGUCCUGAGUUCUCCUUUGUCCCUGUCAACUCAUCAUGUUCCCUCUCCUCACUGGGGAGACUAAGAAGAAAUCAAACUUAAAAGUAUUUGUGGAAGGGUGAUGUUUUAGUCAUUUUGGGCUGUUAGUCCAUUCUUGCGUUGCUAUAAAGAAAUACCUGGGACGGGGCAAUUUAUAAAGAAAAGAGGUUUAAUUGGCUCACAGUUCCACAGGCUGUACAGGAAGCAUGGUGCAGACAUAGGCUCAGCUUCUUCUGAGGCAUCAGGAAGUUUACAAUCAUGGCAGAAGGGAGAGGGGGAGCUGGCACAUCACAUGGUGAAAGCAGGAGCAAGAGUGGGGAGGGAGGAGGUGCCACAUACAUUUAAAUGAACAGAGCUCAUUCGAACUCAGAGUGAGAGCUCCUUUAUCACCAAAAGGAUGGCCCAAGCCAUUCAUGAGGGAUCCACCUGCAUGAUCCAGACACCUCCUGCCAGGCAUCUCCUCCAAUACUAGGGAUUAUAUCUCAACAUGAGAUUUGAAUGGGGACAAUUAUCCAAACUAUAUCAGGCUGCUCUAACAAAUCACCAUAGACUAGGUGGCUUCAACAACAAAUAUUUAUUUCUCACAGUUUUGGAGGCUGGAGGUUGGAGAUCAGGAUGCCAGUGUCUUCGGAUUCUGGUGAGGGACCUCUUCUAGGUUUCAGAUAGCCAACGUAUAUUAACAUACAGUUGUGUAAAUAGUAUACUAAUGAGAUAACAGCUUUGAUUAUGGAUUGCCUGCUAAGCAACCCCAGAAUAUGUCAAAAUACCUUGCUCAUAUAGGACUAGAUUUUAACCUAAAUCUGUAAUAUCUGUCUCAGCAAUGCAGUUCUUAUAUAAGCUCAGCCUGAACAUGAAAAUAUCCGUCAAUUGAGAAUAAGAUCUUUUCAUGCAGUUCAUCUAAACUGAAUUUCUUUCUGUACUGGAAAUAAGUCUUAAGUUGUUUUUCUUUCAAAUGUCAUUAAUAAUGAAGGAUGGAUAGAAGCAAUCUAUCAACAGCUAUUUUUUCAUGUAUCAUUAGCUAUAAACCUCUGUGGGAAUCAAAAGACAAAUAGUAUAUAAUCCUUGCCCUUCAGGAAUUUACGAUCUAGUUAGGAACCCCACUUUGGCACUUGCAGAGUAAUGAAGUUGGAGGGUGUGUGCUGGUAAAUGUCAGUGCCACAGGAGAUCCGAGAGAUGGGUCUGACUGGCAAUGGCUACAGUAGUAAAGAUGCUGCAGAUGAUAUAGGGGCACAGAGAGACUGGAUUGUAGAAAAGUAAGAAUUUUAGCUUCCUGAAAAUAACAUUGCUUAUAACAUUACUUUUGAAAAAUACAGAAGUUUAAGGUGAAUAUCUAUUGUCUUGGACUAUCAUGUAUACCUCACAAUUGUUCUGGUGAUUAUAUGAAUCUGCCAUUCAGUAAUUAUUUGAGUAAAGAAAACACGUAUAUAUUGAAGGGCUUUUAAAGGUAUUAAUUACUUUACAAAUGUAAGGUAGGUUUAGUAUAAGAAGAGCUAAUAUUUACUGAGCACUUGCCAUCUUCUAGAUACUGCAUUAAGUAAUUUACGUACAUUAUCCGAUCUAAUUCUCAUUAUAGUACUGUGAUGUAAAUAUAAUCAUUCACAUUUUGUAGUUCAAGAAACAGGCUUAGGAAAGGUAGGUAAUUUGCCCAAGGUCACGUAGCCUAUGGGCAGUGGAGCUGGGAUUUAAAUCCAAAUCUGAUGAGGUCAGUACUCUUGGCCAUGCUUCAGUGCUCUGUAUUUUCCACAUAAUCACUGCUUAUUGACAUUAGAUUAUUACUUACGGGUCAUAUAUCUAAACAUUAAGUUCCUCAUUUAACUAGUUUAGAAACAACCUAAACAUAAUCCAUUAAAAUGACCAUAAUAGAGAAUUGUUCCAUGUCCUUAUGUAAAAUUGCCCCCAAUCAUUUUUACCUAGAAAUUUGGGGUCAGACAAUAUAGUAAAUGAUCAUCAUUCCUGAUUGGGUUUGAAAAUCAUUAAGUAGUGGCUUAGGAAAGAUCUUGGAAACUUGUAAAGCACUUACUUAAUGUGUUUGUAACUAUGUAGUAUGAAGUUGCCUUAAACUAGAAAUGUGCCUUCUAUUCUGUGGAUUGGCACCACCAGUUCCAUGAAUUUAGCAUUUUCCUUUAGGAAAUCAAAAGCUAUGCAGAUUACUCAUUGAAAUUUAGAGAGUGAAAGGCAUUUUUCAUCAGCACAUAUCACAUAAUUGGCACAAAGGCUUGGAAAUGAAGAAUUGCCUGUUAGUUCUGAGACAGUGUUUAUUAUGCAAAAUAUAAAUACCAGAAUUGGGGUUGGGGCACAUCCAACACCCUGUGUUCAACAAGAUUAAAAUUUGGGGGGACCAGGAUUAUGAUUUUUUUCAUGUUUGUUUUUGGCCCACUUUCUCCAGUACCAAAAUAUGGAAGGCCAAACAUUUGUAUAUACUUGUUAACUGAUGCAUUGCAUUGUAUGUCGUAACAAGUACAGAUGGCAGUGUUUGGUGAGUGUGCCUAUAAACUACCCAGGGCCUCUUAGGAAAAUCUAUAAAAGUUGCUUCUGCCUACCAGGAAUGGUGGGAGGGUUUCCUCAGGUAGGAGAGAACCAUCAGCAAGGAACAAGCAGGAUUGUAUCUUGUGCUUUUAUAUUUUGUGGGAAGGAACUUUGAAGUAUAACAGGCAUUUAUUCAUUUCUUAGUUCAUUGUUUCUUUGGUUCACUAAAAAAGAUGUGGGGGGGGCAGUGAGUAAAAUAUUAGCAAAUGAGUUAAGUAAAAAUGAACAUGUAAGAAACCCAAACUACCUGCCAGUCAUCACAAGGUUAUCUCUUUUCCUGACUCCAAAUUAUAGUUUAACCUUCUGGCUGCAGUUCCCACAUCUCUUCUCUAAAUGAGAGCUAAAUGGUUAGAGACUCAGAGGAUGAACAUUUCAUCCAAUGUAACUGUGAUGAAUGAAUCAUCCAGUAAACUAUUUUCCCAGUGAAAAGUAAUAAUUUUGUAUGAUUAUCAUGUAGCAGGUUAUGAAAAAUAGGAAAUACUGACUUCAGCUUUUCACUUUACAGAUACAUGACUGUGGGGGGCAACAGUCAAGAAUCUGGGGUGCUAUUCUGCCCCUAAAUUGUUUUCUGGAUGAGUGUACACAUUGUAAACUCUAGUGAGGGAGUGGUUUAUUUCUAAUUUCUGGUCCUUUGUCAUUUUGAGUCUGUGCUUAGCAUGCAGGAUGCUACUGCUGGACUCACUUGAUGCUUUUUCCUAGGUGAUGACCUCACUAUUUACGGGAUUGUAAUGCAACGGUGGAAGCCCUUUCAGCAAGGUGUGCGCUGUGAAGUGGAGAUAGUCCUGAAAGCAAAUUACAUCCAAGUAAAUAAUGAGCAGUCCUCAGGGAUCAUCAUGGAUGAGGAGGUCCAAAAGGAAUUCGAAGAUUUUUGGGAAUACUAUAAGAGCGAUCCCUUUGCAGGAAGGAAUGUAAUAUUGGCUAGCUUGUGCCCUCAAGUGUUUGGAAUGUAUCUAGUAAAGCUUGCUGUGGCCAUGGUGCUGGCUGGUGGGAUUCAAAGGACUGAUGCUACAGGAACACGGGUCAGAGGUUAGUACCUAUUUAGAAAUUUUGAGUAAUAUUGACACAUGGAGGGAAGCUAGAACUUUUUCUUUCCCAAAUAAAAACUGCUCGUUGGGUUUUAUUUUCCAAUUGUAAUCUUAUAAAACUGACAGUUGUCUGAAUAUCUCAUACUUAGUCUAGCAUCUGUAUAUCAGAAGCUACUUUCUAGAGUUCCAGAAAGACUGAAAGAAGUUACAUUUUUCUAUGGCAUAUACUUUUGCUAUAGCCUAUAAGGAUGCCACAGAAUAAAAUCUUUGUUUCUAUUACUGUGUUUUUUGUUGGAUCCCUGGUCUGUUUUCAAAAGGAAAAAGAUUAGAAAUAGUGUAUUUUAAUGUCUCCAGUCAGUGUCUCUCCAUCUGUGGCUGUCACUGUGUUUCUCUUAGACUGCUGCUUUCAGUCAUCUGCCGGCUGAUUCUCCUUCUGCUGGUAGAUAGCAAAUGUGCCAUCUGCCGUGGGGUGCUGCUGCAGGUCACACCUUCAAGAAAAGAUUACUCUUAAGUGUAUAAUUAUGUCCAGAUGGCAGAAAGCUCUUUUGCAGCUAACACACUUAACCAGAGUCUGGCAUACAGGUUAUUACGGCCCCGUACGUGGGCCAUAAUAACCAAAAAUUAAACCAAAAGACUAAAAGGGCAUUGUUAUAAAUCAGGCUGUUAGUAGGGACUCGAAAACCAUAUAGUACAGUAUAGAAUAGUAAGUAUAAGGUGUCCUUAUAUGUUUUGAUCACCUACUGUUUUGCAAGGCACUCUGCCAAAUGUUGAGCUUAAAUAGGGGUUUCCUAUUAAUGUAUUUAGGAAACACUUGAGAAUUGCUGAAGAAACUUGAUCAGUGAAAUCAUAUGUACCAUAGGAUAUGCACGUUAUUUAUGUUACAUUUGCAAAAUGAGUACUUAUUUUAAGAUACAUAUUUCACUAAGUUACUAAAAUUUUCAUAAAUGAAAAGGUCUUCACUUAACUGUUAGAAUCAUAAGUAAUUUGAUAUUUAUAAAGUACUUGUAAAAUCCCUAAUACUUCUAAGUGCUUAAAUAAAAAUAGAAUAAAAUACUUAUAUGACUUGUAUGCAAGGAUUUAAUCAUAGUAGUUUGAUAUUUAAAAAUAGAGUAAAUCAGAAACUUUAUAAGCCAAAAAUUUUUUGUUUGUUUUUGUAGAGAUGGAGUCUUGCCCAGGCUGGUCUCACAUUUCCGGGCUCAAGUGACCCUCCUGCCUUGGCCUCCCAAAUGCUGGGAUUACAAGUGUGAGCCACCGCACCUGGCCCCAGAUAUUUUUUAAAAUGUUAAACAUAGGCCUGAACAUCUGGAAAUAGCACAUCAUUUAUUAAUAGAAUUUAGAUUCUAUGUCACAUUGAGUAAUCAAUUAAGGACUGUUUAUGACAGUUAACUUUCUAAAGAUUUUCUAGUUAAAUCCUUUCUCAAACGACCCUAUGUAAAAGUACACAGUAAAAACACUAUGUAAUAUUUUGUUGGCAUUCCAAAUGGACCCUUUUAUAGAAAUUUAAAACUUCAUGUAUUUGCUUUUUCCUAGGAGAAUCUCAUCUUUUAUUGGUUGGGGAUCCUGGCACAGGGAAAUCUCAGUUCCUCAAAUAUGCAGCAAAGAUUACACCAAGAUCUGUGCUGACCACAGGAAUUGGAUCUACUAGUGCAGGUAUUAUAUGUGACAAUUUCAAGUAAUUUAACAUUACUUCAGAAGUUAACACAAUGGUUUUUUCUAAUGAAAAACUACCUAUAAUAGGAUAAAUUUCAAGCUAAUUUUUGAGUUACCACUAAAAAUGGAAGGAAAUAUGCAAUGUUAUUUUGGUAGCUCUAAGAAAAUAUCUUGCAAGCUCCACCUUCACUUUGCAUCUUAGUUUUGAACAAUCCUAUUCAAUUUUCUUAUUCUCUAGUGAUUACCUUCAUACUUUUAUGCAGGAAAAAGUCCGUAUCAUCUGGCAUUUUAUCAAGACUCAGCAACUGGAAUGUUAAACUAAAGAGGGGGAUAUUUCACUUUACCAAGUAGAUAGAUGGCAUAGAGCUUAAGGCAUUUUCAUGCUCAUAAAUCUGAUAGGCAACAGUAGCUCCUACUGAAAUUUCUUAGGUAGGGAAUGUUUAUUAAUAUUUGGAAAAUAUACUUCCAUCACUGCAAUGUGGAGCUUCAUUCAUAAGUUGUAAUGAUUCUUUAGCAAGUACACUUAAAAGCCUUUGCAGGUAGAAUGUCAAGAUUUGAUUAAAGUGACCCAGGGAAUUUAGAAAAAAAUUAUUUUAAAAAAUAUGUUUGAUGCUAUUUUGUAUUUUUACAGUUUUGAUUGGGUAAUGUUUCUGUUCUUCUGAAAACAGACCCUUGGCUUCACACAUUUUAAAAAUGUUUGCUACUUGUUAAGGGAGUCAGAUUAACUUCCAUUGGGCUAAUGAAUGCUCAAAUUUCUAAUGAGAAACUUACACUUUAAAAUUUAUCAUACAACAGAAAAUGGCCAAUUAAUGGUCCUGUAUAAGUGGAAAACUGUUAAGGGGGUCUCAGGUUUUGAAAUAUAACUAAACAAUAUAUUAACCAUUGACAAGAAUGGAUUUUUGGAAUUGAGAAGGGUAGACAAACUUCAGGAUACUAGGCAAGAAUAUAUAAAGAAUAUUUCCCAUGCGUUUUAAAUCCGUAUGACCCAGUGUUCUAGAGUUCUGUAUAAAAUGACACCAACAACAAAUAAAGAUGCUUCCCAAGUAA